rnacentral:misc_RNA from 1 species
GAUGAAGAACGUAGCGAAAUGCGAUAAGUAAUGUGAAUUGCAGAAUUCAGUGAAUCAUCGAAUCUUUGAACGCACAUUGCGCCCCCCAGUAUUCUGGCGGGAAUGCCUGUUCGAGCGUCAUUUCAACCAUCAAGCCCUGCUUGUGUUGGGGUCCUGCGGCUGCCCGCAGGCCCUGAAAACCAGUGGCGGGCUCGCUAGUCACACCGAGCGCAGUAGCACAUCUCGCUCAGGGCGUGCGGCGGGCUCCAGCCGUUAAAGCACCCACCUUUCGCAAGGUUGACCUCGGAUCAGGUAGGAAUACCCGCUGAACUUAAGCAUAUCAAUAAGCGGAGGA